GGUUAUAGCUCAGCUGGUUAAGAGCGCACGCCUGAUAAGCGUGAGGUCGAUGGUUCGAGUCCAUUUAGCCACCA
rnacentral:tRNA from 1 species